rnacentral:rRNA from 1 species
GCUUGUCUCAAAGAUUAAGCCAUGCAUGUCUAAGUAUAAACAACUUUAUACUGUGAAACUGCGUACAGCUCAUUAUAUCAGUUAUAAUUUAUUUGAUGGUGAUUUACUACAUGGAUAACCGUGGUAAUUCUAGAGCUAAUACAUGCGUAAGAUCCUGACUAACGAAGGGACGUAUUUAUUAGAUAAAAAACCAAUGCCCUUCGGGGCUCCUUGGUGAAUCAUAAUAACUUAACGAAUCGCAUGGCCUUGCGCCGGCGAUGGUUCAUUCAAAUUUCUGCCCUAUCAACUUUCGAUGGUAGGAUAGUGGCCUACCAUGGUAUCAACGGGUAACGGGGAAUUAGGGUUCGACUCCGGAGAGGGAGCCUGAGAAACGGCUACCACAUCCAAGGAAGGCAGCAGG